GAUGAACGCUGGCGGCGUGCCUAAUACAUGCAAGUAGAACGCUGAAGGAGGAGCUUGCUCUUCUGGAUGAGUUGCGAAAGGGUGAGUAACGCGUAGGUAACCUGCCUGGUAGCGGGGGAUAACUAUUGGAAACGAUAGCUAAUACCGCAUGACAACAGUUAUUGCAUGAUAACUGUUUAAAAGGGGCAACUGCUCCACUACCAGAUGGACCUGCGUUGUAUUAGCUAGUUGGUGAGGUAACGGCUCACCAAGGCGACGAUACAUAGCCGACCUGAGAGGGUGAUCGGCCACACUGGGACUGAGACACGGCCCAGACUCCUACGGGAGGCAGCAGUAGGGAAUCUUCGGCAAUGGACGGAAGUCUGACCGAGCAACGCCGCGUGAGUGAAGAAGGUUUUCGGAUCGUAAAGCUCUGUUGUAAGAGAAGAACGAGUGUGAGAGUGGAAAGUUCACACUGUGACGGUAUCUUACCAGAAAGGGACGGCUAACUACGUG
rnacentral:rRNA from 1 species